rfam:Aphanizomenon flos-aquae 2012/KM/D3 mira_131_len_T:11460, whole genome shotgun sequence.
GGUGCAGGCGCAAGAGUAUUGAGAGGAGUCCUCCUUAGUACGAGAGGACCGGGAGGAACGCACCGCUGGUGUACCAGUUAUUGUACCAACAGUAAACGCUGGGUAGCCAAGUGCGGAGAGGAUAACCGCUGAAAGCAUCUAAGUGGGAAGCCCACCUCAAGAUGAGUACUCUCACUACGAUAAGUAGGUAAGGUCACGGGCAGAACACCCGUUAAUAGGCUCUAAGUGGAAGUACAGUAAUGUAUGAAGCUGAGGGGUACUAAUAGACCGAGGGCUUGACCUC